GGCUGGAAAACUGGACCAGUCUACUGCCCACCCAGUCGAGAUCCUCUCCAGGACAAGAGUUGUUGUUGGUAGCAAAACAAAGAAGAGCUUCAGAAUUGUGUCUUGUCAUCUUGCAGAGGCGCUGAUGCCAGUCUAUGUACGGACAGCUGCUCCCUUAAGGAUUUGAGACAUGCUUCAAGAUUGCAUGCUGAGAUCAAUCUCUGCACUCCAGGCAAUAGAAUGGAGGACUGUGGGGACGAGGAGCCUCAAAAUAGGAAAUGAAAAUGAGCCUCGUGUUUCCCAAAAUCUCUUUUUGUACAGUUUGCCGCCUGCAUUCUCCUCAGCCUUUAUUUUGAAAAUCCACCAGAAUGUUUACAGUAAGAAUGAAUGACAAGACAAAGUGUUUCUGCCAGAGAGCCUCUGCAUCAACACUGCACAGUUUAUUAUGUGGAUUAGAGGACCAGUUGAGUAAUUUCCUCUGCGUGGGUUUUGUUUGUGGCUGCUCUGUUGACAAAGCUUUGAUCAAACACAGUACAUAGAUUCCUUAAUGCGCUGUGCACAUACGGAGACGCUGCUGCAGGUUUUCAGAUUAAAUGUGACACAAAGGCUUUCGCAACAGUAGUAAGGAAUGAGGUUGAAUGGUAUCUUUGGGUGUUAAGAUGUCAGCCAGUUUUAGAAAUGCAAGAAAGUUUCCAGCCGCUCUCGCUCACAUUUAUUCAUUUUAUGUGCAUUUUUGCAGGGCAAGUUGCUCCUUCAACACUCUCAAAAAUGUAUUUUACUCUUCUUCCCACUACAAAAGCAGUCCAUUCCUGCUGAAUCAGACUGUUAUGGGAAAACAACUUGAAUAGUUCUGAAACAAGGGGAUGGGAAAUGUGGAAUGGAGACGGAGCAACAAAUAGAAAGAUCAAAAUUCUCCCAAUCUGGUAGUAAGAAAUCAAAAACAUCUGCUAGUGAUGUACCAAUCCCAAUCUGAGGACCAGGUUCAGGGCAAUUAAGGCAAUUUAUUGGUUUUAUAAAGAUCAUAAACCCGGUUCUUUGUUUACAUCUGUUGCUACACGUGUUGUAAAUUCUUAUUUAGUCAGUAAGUGCUCGACUGAUAAUAGAAGUUCAGCACACUGUAUAUUAAACUUAUGUUGAUAUUGCUGAGGACACACGUUCCGUUAUGGGCAGCAAAGUGACCAUUACAUAUGCCAAUAAGAUCUAGGAAUGUCGUCCUAUGUAAUAUGAUUUAUUUGUGCACACUGACCUCCUCUGCCAUACUUAGUAUUUGUAGUAAGUUUAGCAUCCAGACACAUAACAGAGCCCAGUAUAUUUUGCAUGAUUAUGUACUGUAAUGGUUGUGUUGUUGCCUAGUCCCUGUGAAUUAAAUGAGAAUGAACAUUGAAGAGAUUUUAAAGAGUUAACAGUAAAGUUUGGAUAUUGUCUUAUCUUA